rnacentral:rRNA from 1 species
AGAAUCAACGCUGGCGGCGUGCCUCAGACAUGCAAGUCGAACGCGAAAGUUCCCUUCGGGGAGCAAGUAGAGUGGCGCACGGGUGAGUAACACGUAGGUAAUCUACCUUCGGAUGGGGGAAUAACAACCGGAAACGGUUGCUAAUACCGCAUAAUGCAGCGGCACCUAAUGGUGACAGUUGUUAAAGCGGGGGAUCGCAAGACCUCGCGUCUGGAGAGGAGCCUGCGGCGGAUUAGCUUGUUGGUGAGGUAAUGGCUCACCAAGGCGAUGAUCCGUA